GCAGAGCGAGGAGUCGGGAUUUGGUCGCGAGCGGCGACGAGCAUUUGUGCAGAAUGUCAUCAGAUGAGGAGAAAUACUCACUUCCAGUUGUGCAAAAUGACUCCAGUCGAGGCAGUUCUGUCUCUUCGAAUCUUCAGAAAAUAUUGAUGAACUCUUCAUACACUCUGUACAAAGGCUUCAACCAACACAGUAAGAGGAAGAAUAUGAAGAACUGCUUCAUUAUGCUAUAGUGACUCCAAAUAUUGAACCCUGUGCUUCACAGUCAUCUCAUCCUAAGGGAGAAUUGGUGCCAGAUGUCAGAAUUUCUACAAUUCAUGAUAUUCUUCAUAGUCAAGGUUAUAUAUAUUUUUCAAGAUAUCUCUUAAUUUAAAAUAUUACUGAGUUUAUUAAUGAUACUGACAGGAUUGUGAAAAUGCCUGUCCAGAUCAGUGAUUCUUCUCAACCAUUUAUGUGUAUUAGUAUCAUCUAGGGGAGCUUUUUACAUUUUAAUAUAUUAUUCCUGACUCUCGUGUGACAGCUUGAUUUUUCUUUGAACUUCAUUUGACUCUUACUUUUAUGAAGAAUAAUAAAGUUGAAGCAAUGCUAUGG
rnacentral:lncRNA from 1 species